ensembl:lncRNA
GGAAGCUAGGCGGGAGAUGUCCAGCUUCUCAAGGAGGUCACCCGGUGCCAGAGUGAGGGGACGUGCAGAGGUCCCAGAAUCCAAAGCUCUGAAAACCAAGUCUGGUUUGGCAUCAAAACUCAUCUGGCAGAUAAUUCUGUCCUGAACUGACACAUGGUUAUUUAUAGCUUUCACUUAUUCCACUUAGUUGAAUAUUCAUAUGGUUCAUUGCAAAAAUUUUACAUGUUAUGAAGUAUUAUACGCACAUUACCUUUCAAAAUGUACAAACUUUCAAUUCCAAAUCUGGCUUCUUACAGGGUUUCAUAAGGAAUUACAGACCACUAUUAGAUGCAUCCUAUUUUUUAGAGUGAAAGUAAAUAGUAGCUGUGGUUUGUUAAUAAAAAUUUUAAAAUGUUACUUCUGGAUAAAAUAAAAUGCUGGCAACCCUAGG